rnacentral:rRNA from 1 species
AGUGAACGCUGGCGAUAGGCCUAACACAUGCAAGUCGAACGGCAGCACAGUAAGAGCUUGCUCUUACGGGUGGCGAGUGGCGGACGGGUGAGGAAUACAUCGGAAUCUACUUUUUCGUGGGGGAUAACGUAGGGAAACUUACGCUAAUACCGCAUACGACCUGCGGGUGAAAGCAGGGGAUCUUCGGACCUUGCGCGAUUGAAUGAGCCGAUGUCGGAUUAGCUAGUUGGCGGGGUAAAGGCCCACCAAGGCGACGAUCCGUAGCUGGUCUGAGAGGAUGAUCAGCCACACUGGAACUGAGACACGGUCCAGACUCCUACGGGAGGCAGCAGUGGGGAAUAUUGGACAAUGGGCGCAAGCCUGAUCCAGCCAUACCGCGUGGGUGAAGAAGGCCUUCGGGUUGUAAAGCCCUUUUGUUGGGAAAGAAAAGCAGCAGGUUAAUACCCCGCUGUUCUGACGGUACCCAAAGAAUAAGCACCGGCUAACUUCGUG